rnacentral:rRNA from 1 species
UACGGGGGGUGCGAGCGUUGUCCGGAAUCACUGGGCGUAAAGGGCGCGUAGGUGGUUUGAUAAGGGUGUGGUGAAAGUCCGGGGCUCAACCCCGGAUCUGCCGUGCCGACUGUCAAACUCGAGGACUGUAGAGGCAGACGGAAUUCCGGGUGUAGCGGUGGAAUGCGUAGAGAUCCGGAGGAAGACCGGUGGCGAAGGCG